AGACACAGUGAGGACAAUGCUGAGGAAAAUUGCCACAAACAAAGUCCUGGAGCAGCUUGGUCUCCGUGGAAAGACAGGCAAAGUGGCAUUUGAGGACUUGCCCUUUUACAGAAUAAUAAUAAGAGAAGAGGAGGAAUUAAGAGGAAGCGACGGCGAAGAAGGGCAAAGGGAGGUGUACAAAGGAAAUGGACAGUGAGAUGAGUGACCAGGAAGUGAAGAAGAAGAAAACAGGGAAAGGGAAAAGAACCAAGCAAACGCCAGUGAGACCAGUGAGCAUUGAGCAGGAAGAGAACCAACAAGAAGGGGCAGGAGUACACUGACGCGCACGACCAAGACCACAGCAUUCCAUUUCUAUUGUAUUAUAAUUAUCACUAAUAAAGAAUUAUUGUUGAA